GGGGUCAUAGGCUAGUGGCAGACCGGCCGGCUCCAGACCGGCAUGUGGGAGUUCGAUUCUCCCUGACCCCA
rnacentral:tRNA from 1 species